CUUUUUUUGUUGUUUCUGUAAAAGUAACACAGCUGCUCAUUCCACUCGCCUCCACCUGCUCCUGCUCUGCCCGCCGCUCUGCCUGCAGCAGGGCUUGCUCCAUCUCCACCUACAGACAAAUACGGAGUCAGAGUCUGCAAGUUAAACAAAUACUAUAAAGAGCUUCUGCUCCUCUUGCUGCGUUGCUGCUGCUCCAGUUCACUGACUCUGUGCUUCAAAUCAUCAACCCUGGCCAGGAUCCUGUUCCUCUCCUCCUCCAGACUCCUCUCUCUGGAUUUCCUCGUCGUUCUCUCUCACCCUCUGGUUUCGGCCGUCUCCCGGGAGAGCCAUCCCACCUCCCGAGUCCGAACAAAGUCCUCUACCAGAACCCAG